UGGGGAAUAUUGGACAAUGGGGGGAACCCUGAUCCAGCCAUGCCGCGUGUGUGAAGAAGGCCUUAUGGUUGUAAAGCACUUUAAGCGAGGAGGAGGGUACUGGUAUUAAUACUACCAGCUACUGGACGUUACUCGCAGAAUAAGCACCGGCUAACUCUGUGCCAGCAGCCGCGGUAAUACAGAGGGUGCGAGCGUUAAUCGGAUUUACUGGGCGUAAAGCGUGCGUAGGCGGCUAAUUGAGUCGGAUGUGAAAUCACCGAGCUUAACUUGGGAAUUGCAGUCGAUACUGGUUAGCUAGAGUGUGGGAGAGGAUGGUAGAAUUCCAGGUGUAGCGGUGAAAUGCGUAGAGAUCUGGAGGAAUACCGAUGGCGAAGGCAGCCAUCUGGCCUAACACUGACGCUGAGGUACGAAAGCAUGGGGAGCAAACAGG
rnacentral:rRNA from 1 species